UUAAGAAUAAGGGCGAAAGUGUAAAUUAACCACUUCAAGCACUAAAAUGGACUUUUAACCACAAACUUCCGGAGGAAGUUGUGUUUUACUCUAAUUUCUCAAGAUAAGAAAAUAAUAUCGAUAAAGUGGUUAUCGAUAGUCAUUAAUAUGAAAAUUGGACGAAAAAGUGAGAAAAAGUGCAAGUUAGCUCAAAAUGGAAAUUUGAGCGUUUUUGGCCAAAAUUGCCAAAAUAAAUUAUUGGAAAGUGAUAUUAUAAGGUAUGAUACUAUUGUUAUUUAUUUGGGAAAUAAAUAAUACGGAAUUUAUCGAGAAUCGAAUGAUUAAAGGAUUAGUGGACUAAAUUGGACGAAAUAAAAGUUAUAAAGUGAAAGUUGAGGAGGUGACAAACUCAAGGACUAAAGGAGACUUUUGCCUCACCUAUUUAAGACACUUGCAUAUGAGUUUAAACUCAGCAAGCAUAUCAUUUUCAGCUCCUAAAAUUCGUCCUUCACCCUUUCUCCAUGGAAGAACAUCAAGCAAAUUUCAAAUGGUCAUAACUCACUCAAUUUUGAUCCGAAUUGAGCGAUUCUUGUGGCCACGGAACGAGGGAAGGAUCCUCUACUGAUAUAUAGUAUCAAUUUAAGGUUAUUGAAAGCUUGAAGGGAGUAUUUUGAUGGUUGUUCAUGGAGGAAUUCAUUCAACCAAAGGGUUAUCCCAUCAAGAAAAGGUAUAAAUUCAGAAUUUUGGACUUUUGGUAAUGAAUUGAUUGAAUUGAGUGGAGUAUUGGUUAAGUUUGAAGUUGGAUUUUCUGGUUUGGUGUUGAAUUGAUGCUGUCUACAACUAGAAUUUUUCGAAAUACUUAGAAAUGUUUGUUUGAGCUGGAAUUUUUAUAUGUUCUGAGUAUAUGAGUUAAGUUGGUGUAUAAAAAAUUUCAGAAUUUUUCAUGUUUCUGAUAUUGAGAUAAAAAUUAAAUAGCACCUAGUGCUCUGUUUGCAAAUUGUGUAAGGCUGCUGCUGUAAGUUAAUUAUUUGAGGACCUUAAACACAUUAGUUUGGCCUAA